CUAUAUGUCACCCUGUGAAUAACACGGAAGUGUCGGCUGGGAUGAGUCAGAUCUAAAUCAGAGCAAAUGAUUCCAGCGCUCAGAUGUUCCUCAGAGGUUGCUGUGGCGAUGCUCUGAAGCUUAGCAAAGCGGCGGAAAAGAUUUGGAAGUGUGCUUCACUAGCGUGUGUGAGACCACAAUACUACUUAAACGAGUCAACAGCACCCAAUCAAGUGGCAUUCCUGCACAUCAUGAUGCCCAGGGCCAGACUGGGAAAUCAGACGGCCAUGGAAAUUUUUGAAGACCUCAGAGCAUCCAGCACAUGUAUUGUAGAGUCACGAUUAUGCUGUAGCUAAGAAAUGAUUUAUUAACAUAUAAAUUACAUAUAGAGAUUCCCACAACAGGUAAUACUACAUUAUGUCAUAUAAAAAGCUAAUGCGAUACCUUGGCAUCAGGUGGAAUAGCAGCAUGGGUAACUAAAUGACUCAAAAAAUAAAACAAAAAAGCUGACGCGUUUUGCUCCGCAGAGAGGUCUUUCUCAAAGCAAAAAUAAAAAACAUUACAGAUAUUCCCAUGCAUUUUGCACCGGUACAAAAAACAUUGAUAAAUCCUUAACAAUAGUUAGUUGUGCAAGUAAGAAAUGCAGAGUGUAAUGCUGAAAAGUAAAUCUACUGAAAUAGAUGUUAGUACUACAGAUUGCAUUGUAAGCUUGUGUGACAUUUCAAUGACUCCUAAAACACUUUUAAAAGUAUUAACAUCCCUGAGUGCCGCACAUCAGAGAGAGAUUUCUCAUUACUGGUGCAACAGUAGGUGUCCUGAUAAAAAAUGUGUGCACAACCAUGGCUGUAUCAUUGGUUCUAUGUUACCCCAUACAUAUGACGGAAUAAUACGCAGAGUUCCCAGAGAAGUCUGUGCCACCACUUUUGAACAUUUCGGAAUCUGUCAAAUCUAUAGAUGAGACAUUUAAAGCCAAACAACUGAUGGGGCUUCCUUGAAUAAAUGUGUAUUUUAGCAAAUAAAAAAAAUCUUUAAAUAAAUCAUACAGAAAUGUUGAAAAUGCU